GGCAGAGACAGGGGAGAAUGAACCAAAAGCUCACGUUCUCCGUAUGUAUUAUGUGCAGGGUGCCCUUCUGAGAGACCAAGUCCUGCCCCCAACAAGCCUAUAACUUAGAUGAGAAAAUCGAUGUCCAGAGACUUUCCCAAGGACACAGAGCUAGCAAACACAGGCAGAAAAGUUAUCCUGGGGAUGGAAGAACUGAAGAAGCCCAGGAAAAGGACCUGGAUUCAGCUAAGUACUUUUCAUAAACAGAGAACGUGAGAAAAAACAAAGUAUGCCAAGUUUAGGCUACUGUCCCUAUGCAAAGGAAGUUAUCAUGAACCCCUAAGAGAACAAAACAAAGAAAGCCAGUCACCAUCCCCUAAGGCAAACACACUCCCCACUCAAGGCUCAAUGGAGACAACUGUCUCUAAACUAGAGAGAACCUCUCCGUCCUGAGGAGGGAGCAGUCUUGACUGAGGAAUAAUGGAAGGAGAUGAGACCCACUACCAGGGUGAUAUAAACCAUAAAUGAGUCCACCCAACAA